CUGGACUGAGACACGGCCCAGACUCUACGGAAGCAGCAGUGGGAAUAUUGCACAAUGGGGGAAACCUGAUGCAGCGACGCCGCGUGAGGGAUGACGGCCUUCGGGUUGUAAACCUCUUUCAGUAGGGAAGAAGCCUUUCGAGGUGACGGUACCUGCAGAAGAAGUACCGGCUAACUACGUGCCAGCAGCCGCGGUAAUACGUAGGGUACAAGCGUUGUCCGGAAUUAUUGGGCGUAAAGAGCUCGUAGGCGGUCCGUCGCGUCUGCUGUGGAAACGCAAGGCUCAACCUUGCGCGUGCAGUGGGUACGGGCGGACUAGAGUGCAGUAGGGGAGUCUGGAAUUCCUGGUGUAGCGGUGAAAUGCGCAGAUAUCAGGAGGAACACCGGUGGCGAGGGCGGGACUCUGGGCUGUUACUGACGCUGAGGAGCGGAAGCAUGGGGAGCGAACAGGAUUAGAUACCCUGGUAGUCCAUGCCGUAAACGUUGGGCACUAGGUGUGGGGCUCAUUCCACGAGUUCCGCGCCGCAGCUAACGCAUUAAGUGCCCCGCCUGGGGAGUACGGCCGCAAGGCUAAAACUCAAAGGAAUUGACGGGGGCCCGCACAAGCGGCGGAGCAUGCGGAUUAAUUCGAUGCAACGCGAAGAACCUUACCAAGGCUUGACAUACACCGGAAUGUGCCAGAGAUGGUUCAGCCCUUUGGGCUGGUGUACAGGUGGUGCAUGGUUGUCGUCAGCUCGUGUCGUGAGAUGUUGGGUUAAGUCCCGCAACGAGCGCAACCCUCGUUCUAUGUUGCCAGCACGUGAUGGUGGGAACUCAUAGGAGACUGCCGGGGUCAACUCGGAGGAAGGUGGGGAUGACGUCAAAUCAUCAUGCCCUUUAUGUCUUGGGCUUCACGCAUGCUACAAUGGUCGGUACAAAGGGUUGCGAGACCGUGAGGUGGAGCGAAUCCCAGAAAGCCGAUCUCAGUUCGGAUCGUAGUCUGCAACUCGACUACGUGAAGUCGGAGUCGCUAGUAAUCGCAGAUCAGCACGUGCG
rnacentral:rRNA from 1 species